ACAUGCAUUUUGACAGUUUCGCGUAUGUGUCAUUUCAGGCACAAAUAGACACGGAACUGAAUGGAAUUCAGUGUUCACAUAUAUCUGAGUGGCUCUCACCGUGUCUACAAAGGGCGCUGGCAAAAUACAAUAGAACCCAUUAUAAUCAGUGAUGCCGUCUACACUGGAUGCGGCGCGACACGGCAAAUCCUUGCGAGGAAAUCCUCAUUCUUUUAUGACGUACUGACACAAAGUUCAAAGGAUUUGCAACGGUCGCUUUUUCGCGUCCAGUGAAGACAGUGCGUCGCGGGGUGGCGUGAUGCGAUAGCUGUCGCGAAAACGAUCAGUAUAAAUAUAACGGUCAGUAUACUAAAAAUCGCACAUUCUGCGAUGUGACUAUCGCGGAUGUGCAUAUCGCGAUAUCGAUGCUGAAACGAUAUAUCGUGCAGCCCUACUGGACAGCUGUAUCUACAGUACACCACACUGACCUCUGCUUUUGCAUAGAAGGGAGGAACUUGUCAACAAAUCUACCUCACAGCGCAUCAAUGAAAGCAGUUUGGCAAUUACAGACGGGCGUGUUGGAUCAGGGUUAGAUCUGAAUUCUGCAGGUUUUCUGGAUUCCCAGUUGAAGACAUCAGUACAUCAGAUGUUGGCCUGGACAGUAGGGCUGCACGAUAUUGGAAAAAACUCACAUUGCGAUAUUUUGUAUUUCUGCGAUAUAUAUUGCGAUAUGAAAAAAAAAAAAACUUGAAAAGCUCUAUUUGGAAAAAAAAUAUUGUAGAUGAGUAAAUCAGCAUAGAAAAAUGAACAAAUUACAAACAUAGAUAAAUAUAAUAGAACAAAGAUAUAAAAUAAAUAAACAGUGCUUUAUAUUUUUUCCAGUAAGUCUAACAGUAUUCAGGUAUACUGGUUGAAUAAUCAAAUGUAAAAUAACACUGUAUAAAUUAAAUCUAAUAAAUCUGUUAAAGCUACAAAAGUGAUUUUUCUCUGUGUUUUGCUGUUUGAUUAACAUUCAUGACACUGAAAGCCUUAGGAACAUUAAACUGCUGUGAGCCUAUACUAUCCAUUUUCUUUAUCAAUUUUUUACCUUCACCUAAGCCAUAAGCAACUGUGUUUACAAGGAAACUUGCAGAGACAUGCAUUUUGACAGUUUCGCGCGUAUGUGUCAUUUCAGGCACAAAUAGACACGGAACUGAAUGGAAUUCAGUGUUCACAUAUAUCUGAGUGGCUCUCACCGUGUCUACAAAGGGCGCUGGCAAAAUACAAUAGAACCCAUUAUAAUCAGUGAUGCCGUCUACACUGGAUGCGGCGCGACACGGCAAAUCCUUGCGAGG